rnacentral:rRNA from 1 species
GUGUCAGCCGCCGCGGUAAUACAGAGGGUGCAAGCGUUGUUCGGAAUUACUGGGCGUAAAGCGUGCGUAGUCGGUAUUGAGAGUCGCGGGUGAAAUCCCAGGGCUUAACCCUGGAACUGCCUGCGAGACCUCAGUACUAGAGUGUGAGAGGGGAUAGUGGAAUACCCAGUGUAGCGGUGAAAUGCGUAGAGAUUGGGUGGAACACCGGUGGCGAAGGCGGCUAUCUGGCUCACAACUGACGAUCAGGCACGAAAGCGUGGGGAGCAAACAGGAUUAGAAACCCUCGUAGUCC